rnacentral:rRNA from 1 species
UACGAAGGGGGCUAGCGUUGUUCGGAUUUACUGGGCGUAAAGCGCACGUAGGCGGAUUGUUAAGUCAGGGGUGAAAUCCUGGAGCUCAACUCCAGAACUGCCUUUGAUACUGGCAAUCUUGAGUCCGGAAGAGGUGAGUGGAACUCCUAGUGUAGAGGUGGAAUUCGUAGAUAUUCGGAAGAACACCAGUGGCGAAGGCGGCUCACUGGACCGGUAUUGACGCUGAGGUGCGAAAGCGUGGGGAGCAAACAGG